AUUGAACGCUGGCGGCAUGCUUUACACAUGCAAGUCGAACGGCAGCGCGGUAGUGCUUGCGCUACUGCCGGGCAGACGGGUACGUAAGAGUUAUGUACCGGACCGUUCCGAGUGAUGGGGGAGAACCAAUCGAAAGAUAGGCCAAUACCGCACACGUCCUGAGGGAGAAAGCGGGUGGUAGCAAGACCUCGCGUGAUUCGGGCGGCCGAUAUCUGAUGAGCUUGUUGUGGGGGUAAAGGGCUACGAAGGCGACGAUCAGUAGCGGGUGUGAGAGGACGAGCAGCGACACGGGGAGUGGGACACGGACCAGACGCCUACGGGAGGCAGCAGUGGGGAAUGUUGGACAAUGGGGGAAAACCUGAUCCAGCGAGGCCGCGUGUGUGACGAAGGCCUUCGGGUUGUAAAGAACGUCUGUUGGGGAAGAAAAGGAAUGUGCUAAGACCACGCUUUGCUGACGGUACCUGCAGAAUAAGCACCGGCUAACUACGUG
rnacentral:rRNA from 1 species